rnacentral:siRNA from 1 species
UCCAUUAGUCUUGAUAUGUUUGG